rnacentral:rRNA from 1 species
CCUACGGGUGGCAGCAGUGGGGAAUAUUGGGCAAUGGGCGCAAGCCUGACCCAGCAACGCCGCGUGAAGGAAGAAGGCCCUCGGGUUGUAACCUUCUUUUAUCAAGGACGAAACAAAUGACGGUACUUGCUGAAUAAGCCACGGGUAACUACGUGCCAGCAGCCGCGGUAAUACGUAAGGGGCAAGCGUUAUCCGGGUUUACUGGGUGUAACGGGCGUUGAGGCGGGACGGCAAGUCAUAUGUGAAAACCAUGGGCUCAACCCAUGGCCUGCAUUUGAAACUGUAGUUCUGGAUGGUUGAAGAGGCAGGCGGAAUUCCGUGUGUAGCGGUGAAAUGCGUAGAUAUACGGAGGAACACCAGUGGCGAAGGCGGCCUGCUGGACAAUAACUGACGCUGAGGCGCGAAAGCGUGGGGAGCAAACAGGAUUAGAUACCCCGAGUAGUC